rnacentral:misc_RNA from 1 species
GGAAUCAAUUAGGUGUACGUAGACGUAGCACCGAUUCCACCGAGUAUUGAAAAUCAUUGAUACGUACAGGCUCACGAAGGUAUACCGACGAUCGUAGCUUUGUUUUAUGCAUUAAGAGGACAAAGUUUCCCUAUAGACCGUGAUGAAGAAUUCAUGGCGGCUAUAAACGAAGAAACGAUCGCGACAAGUUCCCCGGCAGAAGGGGUCGCAUCUCCAGCAAUUAUCGAGCGAUUUCUAUCACGUGAAUUCGCAACGAAACGCGUCGAGGGUGAAUUAUGAGAAGCGAGUCGGCUCCCAUCCCUUCGAGAUAAUAUCGUCGUUUACGAAGCUCCCGUGCACUUCUCCCGGAUCCAGGAAGCACAUGAUCUGGCAAACUUCCGCAUCAACGCCGCCGGAAGAGUGGAACUGAACGAUGUAACGGAUAUGACCGAGGAAAUCGAAGAUCUUGCGGUAUUGUUAAGGAAAAUUAACCAGUUGACUGAGGAAAGAGUCGUGAACACGUUCCGUGUCGCGCGUGAUCAUCGGGAU